GGAAUCUUCCGCAAUGGGCGAAAGCCUGACGGAGCAACGCCGCGUGAGUGAUGAAGGUUUUCGGAUCGUAAAGCUCUGUUGCCAGGGAAGAACGUCCGGUAGAGUAACUGCUACCGGAGUGACGGUACCUGAGAAGAAAGCCCCGGCUAACUACGUGCCAGCAGCCGCGGUAAUACGUAGGGGGCAAGCGUUGUCCGGAAUUAUUGGGCGUAAAGCGCGCGCAGGCGGCUAUUUAAGUCUGGUGUUUAAACCUUGGGCUCAACCUGAGGUCGCACUGGAAACUGGGUGGCUUGAGUACAGAAGAGGAAAGUGGAAUUCCACGUGUAGCGGUGAAAUGCGUAGAUAUGUGGAGGAACACCAGUGGCGAAGGCGACUUUCUGGGCUGUAACUGACGCUGAGGCGCGAAAGCGUGGGGAGCAAACA
rnacentral:rRNA from 1 species